UUUUAGACAUUUUUUGAAUUUUAAGAGAUACCAUACCUACUACAUCAUGUAUAAUCAAUUUAUGUUUACCCUUCAAUACACAUUACAUUUCCAUUUCAGAAAUUAAUCACAUUAAACAUUAAUGCUUCAUAAAUUAAAUCAAACGAUAAUCUUCCAUUAAUUAAAUGACUUUCUUUCUUUAUUUCCCCCAACCACACACUGUUAUCUCCAACCUUCCGCCAUUAAAACUCACACUCAGUUUAUCUAGCGAUUUCUAUUUCAAAUUUUGAAUCCUAAAAUCUCAUAUUCUCUAUUUACAAAGUUCCAAGGAAUAUGGAAACAUAAUGAAAUGUUUCAUGGCUUAGGUACGUUUUCUACAAUAUUCUUUCUCUAAAUGUUGUUUUUUUUCCUUUACCGUAUACCUAAUUGGAUUUCUUGUUAAAAUAAUGUGUGCUCAAUGGAUAUAAUGGUAAUUUUGGGUUUCGAUGGCGAUGACGAUAUGAUUCAUCUUCUCCACUUCCUAGUCGGUAAUCCUCAAUUCCAUUUUUCUCUAUAAAUUUUCUUUUUUGAACCGCAAUUUUACGGUUUUAGAUGCGGCCUCAUCUGAUAAGCAUGUCAAUAUGUUGAUUUUUUUUGUGGAAUUGAGUAUCUAACACCGACAUCAAGAGUGCUAGACCCAUCAUGGUCGCAUAUGGUCAUCUUGGUAAGCAACCAUGAGUUCCUUUGUUACAGGUCAUCUCUCAUUUGUUCCCUGUAACUAAUCAUGAGCUUAUUUGUUGAAUGUUAUAUUUAAUCUAUUCUUGCAUGGCUAUUUCAAAUUUAUGGUUUUUUUACAAUCCACUCGUAAUCAUAUAUAAUCAUAUUGACAUUUCUCAACAGUUGCAUUUUUUGUUUUGUCAAGGUUGGAGAUGACUUUGGAUUUUUAUGUGGAAUUUUGUCAUAUGUCUAAGAAAGUAUAUGGUAAACAUCUUUUUUAACAUAAAAAAAAGUAAAACAUCUUUCCGUUUUACCCAUUUGUUUGUAUUGUUGGAUUCCAUUUUUGUUUUGUUUUUUAAUUAGCAUCUAGGAUUUUAAUGGUCCUAUCCAAUUUAGAAUCUUGACUCAGGUAGAUCUAGAAACCUUCCACUGUCAUUUCUUCUCCCUGUUUUGGCCACUUAUCUCAACUUCUUCAUUUUUUUUGUGCAGAAAUCAAGAAUAGUUGGGAUCUCGAGAAUGAUGGUGGCUAAAAAAAAAUUUGAUUAAAAAAAGGAGUUAUAUCCCCCUUGAAGAAAACAACUUCAAACAUAAGAAUUCUUAACUCCAAAUCUUUUAAAUUUGGGUUUCUCUAUGAGCAAAUUCUCCAUUUAUUUUUAUUCUACUGGUUGUUUUACUACACCAUUUUAAAAGAAACAACUACAACCCUAGAAAAUAGGGGAAGAUGCUCUAAACAUCAUCCAUGUAAUAUUUAUUCAUUAUAUGAAGGCAAAAGUUUAAUCCAUUUUAUGUAUAUGUACAUCAAAGUCCAUAUCUUAAUGUGAUAUUUACAUCAGCUACAUGUAAAUAGUGCAUUUCCUUUAUAGAAUAAACAAAUACUGGUAUUUUCCAAAGUGUGAUUCAGUGAUUUAUCAUUGAUAUUCUUCAAAUUUGCAUAUCUAGAGUGUUGUAAACUUCAUUUGAUGUAUAUUCUCAGGGUAUGGCCGGGUUAGAAUA